rnacentral:rRNA from 1 species
UGCCAGCCGCCGCGGUAAUACGGAGGGGACUAACGUUGUUCGGAUUUACUGGGCGUAAAGGGUGCGUAGGCGGACCUUCAAGUCGGAUGUGAAAUCUAUAGGCUCAACUUAUAGCUUGCAUUCGAAACUGAUGGUCUUGAGUGGAUUAGAGGAAUGCGGAAUUACAGGUGUAGCGGUGAGAUGCAUAGAUAUGACUUAGAACACCAAUUGCGAAGGCAGCUAGCUAGGCAUUAAUUGACGCUGAGACGCGAAAGCGUGGGGAGCAAACAGGAUUAGAUA